GAUGAACGCUGGCGGCGUGCCUAAUACAUGCCAGUCGAGCGAACAGACGAGGAGCUUGCUCCUCUGACGUUAGCGGCGGACGGGUGAGUAACACGUGGAUAACCUACCUAUAAGACUGGGAUAACUUCGGGAAACCGGAGCUAAUACCGGAUAAUAUAUUGAACCGCAUGGUUCAAUAGUGAAAGACGGUUUUGCUGUCACUUAUCGAUGGAUCCGCGCCGCAUUAGCUAGUUGGUACGGUAACGGGUUACCAAGGCAACGAUGCGUAGCCGACCUGAGGGAGUGAUCGGCCACACUGGAACUGAGACACGGUCCAGACUCCUACGGGAGGCAGCAGUAGGGAAUCUUCCGCAAUGGGCGAAAGCUUGACGGAGCAACGCCGCGUGAGUGAUGAAGGUCUUCGGAUCGUAAAACUCUGUUAUUAGGGAAGAACAAAUGUGUAAGUAACUAUGCACGUCUUGACGGUACCUAAUCAGAAAGCCACGGCUAACUACGUG
rnacentral:rRNA from 1 species